UUCAUUCUGGCAGGAGUUCGAGUCCCAGUCCACACCUCUGAUGUCAUGACACGUGAACUGACUCAUCCAGAUCCCAAUACAAGACUUAAUGCAAUUCUCAGGUUUCAAGUGUUGUGGCAAUCACGAUACCAAACCUGGCCACGGAUGGAAGAGGGAGCUCAACUCACUUUUAAGUUCCACCUCAUGGGAUAGAAUUCACACUUCCAUCCCCCAAGAUAGGCGUGGAGUCUCUGCCAGUGGUAGACCCUCCAUGGAUGCCCUACUUCAAGACUAAUGGGAUGAAGUCACAGUCAACCAGAUCCAGCAUAGGUCAUUUGUGACUGCAACAAGAACCAGACGAAAACUGCAAGCAGAGAUGGUUCGAUCUGCCUUAGAAGCAGAAGAGAAGAAACGCCGAAUUGAGAGAGAGAAUUUUUUGCUGACAACUGUUCCAGUUACUAUUCAGGCAGCUUAUGAACCAGCACUUCACCAUGUAUCAGCUGAUGACCACG